rnacentral:rRNA from 1 species
UGCUAGACGAGUUUGAUCAUGGCUCAGAAUGAACGUUGGCGGCGUGGAUUAGGCAUGCAAGUCGAGCGCUCAUCAGCAAUGGUGGGAGCGGCGAACGGCGUAGUAAUGCAUCGGAACGUACCCUCUGGACGGGGAUAGCCACGGGAAACUGUGGGUAAUACCCGAUAAUCUCUGCGGAGCAAAGGUGUGAUUCCGCCGGAGGAGCGGCUGAUGUGAUAUUAGCUAGUUGGUGGGGUAAAGGCCUACCAAGGCGAUGAUGUCUAGGGGGUGUGAGAGCAUGGCCCCCACGACCGGAACUGAGAUACUGUCCGGACACCUACGGGUGGCUGCAGUCGAGAAUCUUCCGCAAUGGACGAAAGUCUGACGGAGCGACGCCGCGUGCGGGAUGAAGGCCCUUGGGUUGUAAACCGCUGUCAGAGGGGAUGAAAUCGUCGGGGGUACUCCCCCGAUGUUGACAGAGCCUCAAAGGAAGCACGGGCUAAGUACGUG